GAUGAACGCUGGCGGCGUGCCUAAUACAUGCAAGUCGAGCGAAUGGAUUGAGAGCUUGCUCUUAUGAAGUUAGCGGCGGACGGGUGAGUAACACGUGGGUAACCUGCCCAUAAGACUGGGAUAACUCCGGGAAACCGGGGCUAAUACCGGAUAACAUUUUGAACCGCAUGGUUCGAAAUUGAAAGGCGGCUUCGGCUGUCACUUAUGGAUGGACCCGCGUCGCAUUAGCUAGUUGGUGAGGUAACGGCUCACCAAGGCAACGAUGCGUAGCCGGCCUGAGCGGGUGAUCGGCCACACUGGGACUGAGACACGGCCCGGACUCCUACGGGAGGCAGCAGUAGGGAAUCUUCAGCAAAGGACGAAAGUCUGACGGAGCAACGCCGCGUGAGUGAUGAAGGCUUUCGGGUCGUAAAACUCUGUUGUUAGGGAAGAACAAGUGCUAGUUGAAUAAGCUGGCACCUUGACGGUACCUAACCAGAAAGCCACGGCUAACUACGUGCCAGCCGCCGCCGUAA
rnacentral:rRNA from 1 species